rnacentral:lncRNA from 1 species
UCAAGCAUUCACAAAUUUCCUUCACCAUUUUCUCUUUUCCAAAUUGUUACACCAAUUCACAGAACUUAUGAGCAUAAUGUUAUUCUAUUUUUUUUUUCUUUUUCAAGUCUUUUUCCUUUUUCCUUUUCUUUUCUUUUUCUUUUCUUUUUCAUUUAUUUAUUUCUUUUUUAAUCUUUUUCUUUUUCUCAACCUCUUAGCAACCAACCUUUCUUUU